rnacentral:rRNA from 1 species
UGAUGGCCAGGCUGUCUCCACCCGAGACUCAGUGAAAUUGAACUCGCUGUGAAGAUGCAGUGUACCCGCGGCAAGACGGAAAGACCCCGUGAACCUUUACUAUAGCUUGACACUGAACAUUGAGCCUUGAUGUGUAGGAUAGGUGGGAGGCUUUGAAGUGUGGACGCCAGUCUGCAUGGAGCCGGCCUUGAAAUACCACCCUUUAAUGUUUGAUGUUCUAACGUGGACCCGUGAUCCGGGUUGCGGACAGUGUCUGGUGGGUAGUUUGACUGGGGCGGUCUCCUCCUAAAGAGUAACGGAGGAGCACGAAGGUUGGCUAAUCCUGGUCGGACAUCAGGAGGUUAGUGCAAUGGCAUAAGCCAGCUUGACUGCGAGCGUGACGGCGCGAGCAGGUGCGAAAGCAGGUCAUAGUGAUCCGGUGGUUCUGAAUGGAAGGGCCAUCGCUCAACGGAUAAAAGGUACUCCGGGGAUAACAGGCUGAUACCGCCCAAGAGUUCAUAUCGACGGCGGUGUUUGGCACCUCGAUGUCGGCUCAUCACAUCCUGGGGCUGAAGUAGGUCCCAAGGGUAUGGCUGUUCGCCAUUUAAAGUGGUACGCGAGCUGGGUUUAGAACGUCGUGAGACAGUUCGGUCCCUAUCUGCCGUGGGCGCUGGAGAACUGAGGGGGGCUGCUCCUAGUACGAGAGGACCGGAGUGGACGCAUCACUGGUGUUCGGGUUGUCAUGCCAAUGGCACUGCCCGGUAGCUAAAUGCGGAAGAGAUAAGUGCUGAAAGCAUCUAAGCACGAAACUUGCCCCGA